rnacentral:rRNA from 1 species
CACGUAGGAGGCGAGCGUUGUCCGGAAUCAUUGGGCGUAAAGAGCGCGCAGGCGGCUUGGCAAGUCGGGUGUGAAAUCCCGGGGCUCAACUGGGGAGGGUCACUCGAUACUGAUCGACUCGAAGGCAGGAGAGGGAAGCGGAAUUCCCGGUGUAGUGGUGAAAUGCGUAGAUAUCAGGAGGAACACCGGUGGCGAAGGCGGGUCUCUGGGCAACAACUGACGCUGAGGAGCGAAAGCGUGGGGAGCGAACAGG